AGCUGCCAUGUACUAGGCCACGUGGCAAGGGCCUGGUUGGGGACCUCCAGGGGUUGAGAGCAUCCUCUGGACAACAUGGAAAAAGAAAAUGAAAAUGGUGACCUCAGCCCUAUAGCUAGAAGGAAUUGAAUCCUGUCAACAACGAUACUCAUCACUCACUGCAGAUGUUACUUUAAGACAUUCUGGAGCAGCGUCAUGUGCAGGAGAAAAUAGUAUCAUCUCAGCCUUCUAUGAAAUCAAGGCAAUAUGUGCGUAGUGCCUCCGCCCAUCUCUCUCUUGCUCCUGGUCUCAUCGUGACGGGCCUGGUCCUGCCUCACUUUAUGCCACGACUAAGAGCUCCCUGAGGCCUCUCCAGAAGCAGAUAUCACUAUGCUUCCUACACAGCCUGCAGAACCGAACAAUAAGGAAGUGAGUGCUUUUGUAAUUCCUGAACAACUGUGUCUUACACUUACUAAGUUCUCUUGCCUGCCACCAUGUAAGAUAUGCUUUUACUCUUCCGCCUUCCACCGUGACUGUGAGGCCUCCCCAGCCAUGUGAAACUGCCUUUGAGCUUAUACUGAAUUAUACCACCAGCUUUCCUAGGUCUUGAAGCUUACAGACAGCAGAUCUUGGGACUUCUCAGGCACCAUAAUCAAUCAUAGAUAAAUGAUCCAAUGAUUCGGAACUUGAAAAGUGGUAGCUUUAUGAAUUCUCCUUAAGAAGAAACCUGUGCCCUGAUCUUGCCUACUCACCCAAAGGCACUGUGAGAUAGCAUCAAAGGAACAGCUAGUAAGAGACACAGAGCCAGAAAUCAGGGAAGUAAAAUACACUUGACAUCUACGUUCGGAAAGAAAUUUUAGGAGGCAGAAGCAAAUGGAUCAGAAGCUGCUUAUAUUUUUGCAAGAUUACCAAAGAAACCAUUGGUGGAGAAAGUUCUGUGACCAACUUGUCUGAGUCUAGUAAGAUUGAACGCUCACACACAAGUUUCAUGAAGUGGGUUUGAUACUUACAGAUAAGCAGCAAGGACCAACAGAAGCUGAUGAUCUAUGGUGAACUUUUUCCCAAGGCUCCGGAAAGCUGCCUAAAGUAGAUGGAGUCUUCUCUGUGUGUGCCCCACUGGUCCUGCAGUUGAAGGAUCCGGUAAAGCAGCCUGCCCUUGGUUUUAUACUCCAGAGGAACGUGAUUCGCUGGACUAAAGCAUUGAAGUGCAUCCUGUUUCCGGGGGGCACUGGAACAGAGCCUGGUCUGUUCUAGCCAGUCCCUUUCUAUCUCAGGAUAACAUUCUACAGUUAUUCUUGAGAACUAUAAUCAAAUAAGCAGGGAGAACUGGAGGCUCAUUGUGGAACCCUCAAGGAGCAUGGGGUCGUCUUCAUCCCUCAGUUUAUAAAUGGCCAAGGAGAGUAAUGCAACAAAAACUUCUCAGAGUUAAAAGCCAGAGUUCCUAAAGAACCGUGGACAAAGGGUUCUGUCUAGUGGGCAGAAUUCAUCCAGCGAAGGUCUCCUAACUACAGAGGGUCACAUCUGGAUCUGAUGGCACCUACAGAACUUGGACUCUGAGCGACAAUCAGUGACCAGGAAAUUUGGAACCCAGGUUUUCCCAACCUACAUCUACAAAAUGGAAUGGGUCUGAUUCGCAAGUUUUCAGAGAAAGAAGCCAACCUUAAUCAGACUGUGAUAUGAUGAGGAAAUAAAACUUGCUGUGCUAAUCAAAAAAAAAAAAAAAAAA
rnacentral:lncRNA from 1 species